GGAGAGUGGGCCGGACGGUAAGGCACAGGUUUGCUAAACCUGCGCCCGCAAGGGCGAGUGGGUUCGACUCCCACACUCUCCGCCA
rnacentral:tRNA from 1 species